rnacentral:rRNA from 1 species
AGCCUUAGGUAAAGAUCUAAGGUAAAGCCUGCCCAGUGCAAUUUGUGAACGGCCGCAGUACCCUGACUGUGCUAAGGUAGCAUAAUAAUUUGGCUUUUAAAUGGAGUCGGGAAUGAAUGGAUUAAUAGGGCUAAGCUGUCUCCCCUAUACUUAUUUUAAUUUACUUAUUAGGUGAAAAUGCCUAUAUUAAGAAAAAAGACGAGAAGACCCUAGGAGUUUUCACUAAACUUUAUAUUUUAUAGUGUUCGUUUUUGUUGGGGCGACAUGAGAGGAGAAAUAUAAACCUCUUUGACUUAUAUGCCG